CCUAGCAGCAGCAACUCCAGCUUCUCCCUCCAGCCAAGGGAAUUUUGCCAGGGUUCCUGUCUUUGUUUGCUCUCUGGACAUAAGCCCAAUGGGAGGCAGUGGCUACAGGGUUUCAAGAGGCAGACUGUGACACACUCAAGCUGGAGAACUUGCCCCUUCCUAGGUGUCUUCACCUGCAAGGUGAGUGUGGGACCCUGCUUGCUCUUCAGCUGUGGGAAGACCAGAAGCCCCUAGGGAAAAGCCCAGAGGGUUCCCUGGGGCACUGAAGAGUUUAGGCCUAAACUAAGGCCAGGAGCUCCACCCUCAUUUCCUCCCAAGUGACAAGCAGAACAGGGUCGGCUGUACCAGGUAAUUGACCAUGUAUGUCUACUUGGUUAAGAACUAGAGGCUCAUAAAUGGAGUCCAAGGGAACCUCCAGCUCAGGAAGCCCCAGCAAUCUCCCUCUGUCCCAGGACACAAGAGACUUCAAGCCUGUUCUGUAAGUUGGAAAAUAACUUUAUUUGUUCUAGGACACUGGCCAGAGUCCCCUUAGAACUUCUGAAACUGCUUCUUGGUGCCAGCAGCCUUGGUGACCUUGAGCACAUUGAAUCGAACAGUCUUGCUCAGGGGCCUGCACUCUCCAACAGUGACAAUGUCUCCAAUCUGUACAUCCCUGUGGAAUUAGACAAGGAAGAGUCUUAAGGAGGGGCCUUCCCAGCAAUCCUUUCAUCCAGACAGGCCGAGGGUGCCCACCUUUGCUCCACCAGUCACCAUCUAGGCGACUGCUAAGACUAAUAACAAACUAUAGCUUCUAGUUCCCUGGGAUUUACAGUAGACUACACACUCCUGGACCCCACAUUGCUCUGCCCACAAAUGCCCCACUUUGUCUUAAAAACACCUACACUUCCAUUACCUCUCCACAUCUGGGGCCCUUCCUGACACAGGCAUCCUCCAGCCAAGCCAGUGACUGUCUUGUCUAGAGUUAUCCCAAGCUAUCAGAGAACCAUGAUCACCUGAAACAGGGGGACAGGUGUACAGACAUGUUCUUGUGACGCUUCUCAAAUCGAUUGUAUUUCCGGAUGUAAUGGAGAUAGUCCCGGCGGAUGACAAUGGUCCUUUGCAUCUUCAUCUUUGUCACCACACCUGGGAGAGGGUGACAGGAAGGUGUUAGUUAGCAGGUAGGAGUCAGUUGAGUGUGGCUCCUAAGAAGCUCCAUUUAUGGCAUCAGCUUUGCCAACUGGCUGUCUCAGCAGUGUCCUGGAGGACAUCAGAAGACCAUCGUGAGAACAGACAUCAUUGCCAGCACCCCUAGACUCAGGAACCGAGAACCACCCUCUUAGCUUCUCACUCACCAGACAGGAUCCGACCUCGGAUGGAGACAUUUCCAGUGAAGGGGCAUUUCUUGUCUAUGUAGGUGCCCUCGAUGGCCUGUAAAGAUAACAAAGUGUAGUUUGGACUACCACUUCCUAAACAGAAGCAAUGAUGAAGCCUCAGGGACACAAACUACAAUUCCCAGGAGCCCCAUGGGUAGCCACUCUGAAACAGGUAGGUAGGGUGGCUGUGCUCCCACAUGUGCUGGGCUGCAUGAAUCUCAUCUGUUGGAGGGUGCUGUACCUCUUUGGGCGUCUUGAAGCCUAGACCGAUGUUUUUGUAGUACCGAGGGAGUUUUUCCUUGCCAGUUUCUCCCAGCAAAACACGCUUCUUGUUUUGAAAGAUUGUAGGCUGCUUUUGGUAAGCACGCUCUGUCUGUAAGAAUCGAUAAUUUGGUGAGGUUACAGGUAAAGAUCGAGACCAAGAAUAACAUUUCUUCCUUCCAACCUUGUACAGUAUUUGCCCCAAACGCCAGGGCUGCUCCACAGCCACCCCACACCUAGUUUAGCUUACACACUGCGUUCUAUCACCUCCACAACUCACAGAAUUCAUGGCUGAGAACAGAAUCAGCAUUUCAGCAAUAUUGGUUCUCCAAAACACACAAACUCACUCACUCAGGAUUCACAUCUUAUGAACACGUAGCUGAGCCCCGUGGGCCAGAUCUGUCAUCCAGGGACUCGAAAGGCAGAGGUAGAAUAGCAAGUUUAAGACAUGUCUAAGCUAACAGAGGCCAGAUGCAAGCCAACAUUUACAAUUACAGCAAGCGUCGGGACUGUAGCUCUGCGACAAGGGCGCUUGACUAGUGCGCACGAGGCCCGGAGUCUCAAUUCCCAUCAAGGAAAAGGAACAGCUUAAAUAAUCUGCCGGUUUUGCCGCCUCAGGACUCCGGCACCUCAGGAUGGUCUCUUCCCACCGCAAACCAUCAUGCAUUAAGGCCCAAAGCUCUUGAGACCCCAUUCCUGUGUAGAGCCCAGAUUUCCGAACCGCCUAUCCGAUAAAGGCACACGCAGGCCUCCUUGCUUCAGCUAACUCGCAAGAUAACGAGGACGCCAAGGAAUAAAGUUCACACUGAAGCGCCGAGGGAAAACGGCUAGACGCUCGAACCUGAAUGUCCGCCAUCUUCCCGGCAGCCUGAGAAAAGGAGAGGUUGGCCCACUCCCGGCUUCCUUAUUCACGCGACGUCCGGAGCGGAAGUGAUGUAGGAUCACGCUUGCGUAAGUAGGAGGUACUUCCGGCGAGGGCUCGCGCUUCUAGGACUUUCCGUAAGCCGUCAUGGUGGUUGAGGAUUAAGGGGCGGGAAGAGGACCUUGUCAUCUCGCGAGAUUUCAGGAUUCCGUUGUGGAGCGUACGACCUGGCUGGGAAAGUGCAUCUUGUGGUAUCGCGAGAGUCUUAGGGCGGAAUAAAGUUUUUCUUCUGCA